ACCUUUUUAGUAUAAAUUAAUACCACUGCCUUCCAAGCAGAAAAUUUACAUUAGUAAAAAAGGUA
rnacentral:tRNA from 1 species